rnacentral:rRNA from 1 species
AUUGAACGUUGGCGGCAUGCUUUACACAUGCAAGUCGAACGGUAACAGGUUAAGCUGACGAGUGGCGAACGGGUGAGUAAUGCAUCGGAACGUGCCCGGGCGUGGGGGAUAACGCAGCGAAAGCUGCGCUAAUACCGCAUACGAUCUGAGGAUGAAAGCGGGGGACCGUAAGGCCUCGCGCGAUCGGAGCGGCCGAUGUCAGAUUAGGUAGUUGGUGGGGUAAAGGCUCACCCAGCCAACGAUCUGUAGCUGGUCUGAGAGGACGACCAGCCACACUGGGACUGAGACACGGCCCAGACUCCUACGGGAGGCAGCAGUGGGGAAUUUUGGACAAUGGGCGAAAGCCUGAUCCAGCAAUGCCGCGUGCAGGAAGAAGGCCUUCGGGUUGUAAACUGCUUUUGUACGGAGCGAAAAGGUCUCCUCUAAUACAGGGGGCUCAUGACGGUACCGUAAGAAUAAGCACCGGCUAACUACGUGCCAGCCGCCGCCGUAA